rnacentral:rRNA from 1 species
UACGUAGGGUGCGAGCGUUGCCCGGAAUUAUUGGGCGUAAAGAGCUCGUAGGCGGUGUGUCACGUCGGCCGUGAAAACCUGCAGCUUAACUGUGGGCGUGCGGUCGAUACGGGCAUCACUGGAGUUCGGCAGGGGAGACUGGAAUUCCUGGUGUAGCGGUGAAAUGCGCAGAUAUCAGGAGGAACACCGGUGGCGAAGGCGGGUCUCUGGGCAACUACUGACGCUGAGGAGCGAAAGCGUGGGGAGCGAACAGG